ensembl:lincRNA
AUGUCUCCGGAGCUACCACAGCUCUUCUCUCAUGAGGAUGGUGCUGGGAGAGACGUUUUGGCGGCUGCAACCAUCCUCCUUCCGGUCCGGGCAGGACUUCUCCCAGGAGGCAGCCCCCUCGCCCCCCUCCUCCAGGGAUCUGAACAGAUGUCCCCUGAUCGCCCUCCAAGAGGACAGCUCAGGUCCACACGCCCGCUGGCCAUGGAGGACAGGAGAGACCGGGCAGGCGAGGCUGAUUUAAAAAGCCCCAGAGUUCAGAUCAUCAGGCAUCAGAUCCCGGAAGUUGUGGUUCAGUCACUCAGCCGUGUCUGACUCUCUGCGACCCCAUGGACUGCAGCACGACGGGCUUCCCUAUCCUUCACUAUCGCCCAGAGUUUACUCAAACUCAUGUUAAUUGAGUCAGCGAUGCCAGAAGUUGGGGACCCCUAUUCUAGGGGACAGACAUAGAGUAGGCCUUAGCUGGGUGUCCACUGCCCCCCAGAGAAUGAUUCCUUGGCUGCCCCGGGACCAACCUGGGUGACUGCUUCACAGGACAAGGAACACUGUGCUUGUAAAGCAUUUUCUGAAUGUUUGAUUACUCUUCUGACUAAUAUUAAUACACUCCACUUUUUUGGAGAGUCUUAGAGUCACAGAAAGGUUGCAAAGACAGCACAUGGCUGCCAUAUGCCUGUCCCCAGUGCCCCCACUGAUAGCAGCUCACCUUGACCUGAAGCGUUGGUCACAACCAACAGGCCAGCACUAACUGCUGAGUCAGGGCUCGCCAACGCCCACGUAUAGUUCCAGACAUCCUCUCUGCCCCAGGGUCCCUCAGGCUCCCCCCAUGACAGCCAGGUCUCCCGCCUUUGGGGUCCCUCUGGGCUGUGAUGGUUUCUCACACGCCUUGUUUGCUGCCCUGGGCAGUCAUGAGAAGGCUGGGUCAGUUCUGCGGAUGCCCCUCUACUGGGAUUUGCUGAUGUGUUUCACAUGGUCAGAUUGUGGUAAUGGCUUUUGGGGAGGAAGACCAACACAUCACACAUACUGACAGUUGAUAAAAAGCACUUAAAUUUUUUUAAAUAAAAUAAAUUGAAGAAUACUUGAUUUACAAUGUGUUAAUUUCUGCUGUACAGUCAAGUGGUUCAUUUAUACACAUAAGAGGCUUCCCUGGUGGCUCAGACAGUAAAGAAUCUACUUUCAGUGGAGAAGACCCAGGUUUGAUUCCUGCAUUUGAUUCCUGGGGAGAGAAAUGGCAACCCACUCCGGUAUUCUGGAGAAUCCCAUGGACAGAGGAGCCUGGCAGGCCACAGUCCAUGGGGUCGCAAAGGGUUGGACACGACUGAGCGACUAACGCUUUCACUUUCACUAUACACACACACAUAUAUAUACACACUCAUUUUUAUAUUCUUUUUAAAAAAUUUUAUUUGCUUAUUUUUGGCCGUGCUGGGUCUUUGUUGCUGCACGCGGGCUUUCUCUAGUUUCAGUGAAUAGGAGCUACUUUCUAAUUUCAGUGCACCAGUUUCUCAUUGCCGUGGCUUCUCUUGUUGCAGAGCACAGGCUCUAGGACAUGGGCUUCAGCAGUUACAGCUCAAAUGGUCCAGACAGGCUCAAGAGUUGUGGCGCACGGGCUUAGUUGCUCUGCAGCAUCGGGGAUCUUUCCGGCAAUCAAACUCGUGUCUCCUGCGUUGGCAGGCACAUUUCCAUCCACUGUA